rnacentral:lncRNA from 1 species
AACCCACUCCCCGUUUUUCAGGAAUGUGUUAGUGGACAUGGAGAUAUUCCCUGCCUCUGAGACACUUGGAUGAAACCUUCAAAAUCUCCUGAACCCUCCUCAAGCUCCCAGCAAAUGGUCAAGAAUCUGCAUCAUAUUGUUUGCUUUCAUUCUUACUGUUAUUGUAGACUCUGCUGGCUUUCUGCUUUGGGGAUGACAAGACAACUUGAAAUGCUGAAAAAGGAGUGAUCUUGUUUCAACUAAGUGCCUAGAAAACAGAAGGCUUUGAAAGGGGAAUCAACAUGUUACUCAAAUAUGGAAGGUAAUGACCUAU